UUAAUAUUUUAUUCCCUCCAUUAUAGGCUCAAUUGCAGCCAGAUUUGACUGUAGCAGUGAAGAAGCUUUUUCCUCAAUCAAAGACAGCUUCAGAAACAAGAGCAGAGAUCUUUGCAUUGUCUGAGUUGGAAAAUCAGAAUCUUGUUAAACUGCUGGGUUGUUAUUCAAAUAGAGGCCUUCAGUUGCUAAUAUAUGAGUACAUGGAUAAUGGUUCCCUUGAGAAAGUCUUAUUUGAUCCUGAUCGUCCACUGCAACUUAGUUGGGAAACUAGAUACAGUAUUUGUGAACGAGUAGCCCUGGGUUUGGAGUUUCUACAUAAAAAAGAGCCACCUAUAAUCCACAGAAAUAUCAAGGCUAGUAAUAUUCUGCUUAAUGAAAAUUGUGAGGCUAAAAUCUCAGAUUUUGGAUU